UUUUAUUUUAAGAUUAUUUUUUAUUGUUGAAAAAAUCAAAAAUAAAUUGUUUAAAACCAAAAUUAAAAUUUAUAAUAUUUCCGUUUUUUAUUUUUAGUUAAAAAUAAAAAUAAUAAAUAUGAAAAAUAGAAAAAUUUUGUUAUAAAUUAAAUUGGUUUUUUAAAAUUAAAA
rnacentral:rRNA from 1 species